CACAGGUGAGAGAGUUUGAGUGCACAGGUGUGCGUGCGUGUGAGCGUGCGUGCGUGCGUGCGAGAAGGUCAGAGUGCGCCGCGUGUCCGUGAGUGAAAGUGCGCGUUUUUGUGUUCAGAUGGAGGACGCCCCCAGCUCCCAGAAGAGCGGGCGACUUUCUUCCUCUCACGACUUGGGGAGAGGAGGAGGAGGACCGUUUCCGACGUGGACAGGUUUCGGCGUCUUAGGGGUCCAGGUAAAGGCGAUUCAAUUAUGGGAUAUGAGGCUGGUCAGGAAGCAUGAGAGCCUGCACCAUCCUGCAGGCCACAGAGACCUUCGGUGGACAGUUCUGAAUGGGAUAAAGCCUGCAGGCCAGUACUCCCAUGAGAGCUCUUCUCCCACAGAGACUGUCGUAUUGGACACAGAAGCAAUAUCCAGCCUAAGGCUGCCAGCAAACAUCACACUGAAGCAUAAAAAGGUAGAAGGCAAGAAGAUGGGGAAAUCCUGUCACAUUAGUACUCAGUGUGAGGGUGCUCACCCCAGACUGUGUGGACUUUGAGACACCAGGUGUCAUUGGGGAUAAAGAGGGUCACUCCAAGAAGACACAAUGGAGAAAGUGAAGCUCUCUCUGCUCGGCUGACCCCUCACUCCUAUGAGGGCAAGUCAGUCACAGCAUGUGACCUGGCUUUGCAAAGAAAAAGGCAUUUCCCUAAGGUUAUGGGGUUGUGUUUGAGAUCAGCCCAAGACAGCCUGGCUCCUAGAAAAGAACCUGACCAGCCCUGUCUUCCUAGAGUGGGGCCACCUCGCAACAACCCUGGGCAGCCCUAUGAGUGGCUGCAGAGCACAGCUUGACUCUUCAUAGGAACCACCCAAACCAUCUUCAUCUCUAUGAAUCAUCCUCACAGAGACUGAGUAUUGAGGCGAAAAGAAACCCAGGUGCAUUGAAAGACUGGCUUGAAGGCUGACGUUACUUAGGAUGAGACUCAGAGUUUCCAUCAUGGCUCAGCAGAAAUGAAUUUGAUGAGCAUCCAUGAGGACGCAGGUUUGAUCCCUGGCCUCCCUCAGUGGGUUAAGGAUCUGGCGUUGCUGUGGCUGCAGUGUAGGCCGGUGGCUGCAGCUCUAAUUCAACCCUAGCCUGGGAACCUCCAUAUGUCACAGCUGCAGCCCUAAAAAAGACAAAAAAUAAAAAAAUAAAAACAGGAUGAGAGUAGGUUAAA
rnacentral:lncRNA from 1 species